ensembl:lncRNA
AACACAACUAUUGCCUGGAUUUUAGAUUAUCUGCUAUUACGACCACAGUUUGUUAGGUUUGGUAACAAACAGUCUGACAUUAUUUUAACUAAUACUGGAGCACCUCAGGGCACAGUUCUAUCUCCCUUUUUAUUUACACUUUACACUGCGAACUAUAGGCAUAGUCAGUCAUCCUGUUUGGUACAAAAAUUCUCUGACGACACCACCUUAGUAGGUCUACUUAAUCAGGGUGAUGACCUUGCUUAUAGAAGGGAGGUUCAGUCUUUUUCUAGCUGGUGUGAGUCAAACUUUCUAAAACUAAAUAUAGGGAAGACUAAAGAACUUGUGAUUGAUUUUAGAAAGAAAAAGGAGAAGGUCCUCCCAGCCAUAAUUAAUGGCCAGCCGAUCGAAAUUCUUCAGUCAUAGUCCAUUUGGAUGAAAAAAUUAAUUGGAAAGAGAACACUAAUGUUUUAAUAAAGAAGGCUCAGUCAAGACUUUUCUUCUUGAGAAAACUCAGAUCUUUUAACAUUAGUACAAAGCUUUUAGAUGUUUUCUAUCAGGGGAUCUUGGCUAGUGUUCUUUUUUAUGCUGUUCUUUGCUGGGGGGGCAGCUUAUCUGUUGAUGAUAAAAAUAGGAUAAAUAAGCUGAUCAAGAGAGCUGGUUCAGUUAUUGGUCUUAUCCCAGACUCACUUGAGGUCAUUGUGGAGAAGAGGAUGAGGUCGAAAUUAAAAAUUGUUAUGUUUUUUGAAGGCCAUCCACUACACAGUGUUUUUAAUGGACUCAGAAGCUCUUUCAGCGAGCGUUUAAUUAUGCCUCGGUGCUCCAGUGAGCGAUUGAGAAGGACUUUUGUUCCUGCAGCGGUCAGAUAUUUUAAUGAACACUGUUGAUUGUCAAACUGUUGAACUGUCUGUUCUUUGCCUUGCAUUUCUGAAUUGUGUAACUGUAUCUUGUUAUAAUCAUGUCUUAUUGGUCUCUUAAUCAUGUUUUUCAUAGUUUUUAAAUGUUGAAUUAUUUAUUUAUGUGUUAGCUGUGUGGUGUGCUUGUUGGCUGUAUGUUUUAAGUUGGUGGGAAACCAGUUUCCCUUUCGGGAUUAAUAAAGUCUUCUCACUCACUCA